GACGAACGCUGGCGGCGUGCUUAACACAUGCAAGUCGAACGGAAGGGCCCUGCGUUUGUGUGGUGCUCGAUUGGCGAGCGGGUGAGUAACACGUGAGUAACCUGCACUUGUCUUUGGGAUAACUUCAGGGAACUGGGGCUAAUAUCGGAUAGGAGCUUCUGCUGCGUGGUGGGGGUUGGAAAGAUUCGGCGGUUUGGGAUGGACUCGCGGUUUAUCAGCUUGUUGGUGGGGUAGUUGCUUACCAAGGCUUGGAAGGCAAGCCGGCCUGGGAGGGUGACAGGCCACAUUGGCACAGGGAUACGGCCCAGAGGGCAUCGGGAGGCAGCGGCGGGGACUAGUGCACAAUGGGCGGAGGGAGGAUGGAGCAACGCCGGGUGGGGGAAGACGGCCUUUGGGUUGUAACACGCUUGCGCGUGUGACGAAGCGUCAGUGCCGUUAAUGGGUAGAGAAGCACGGGCUAACUACGG
rnacentral:rRNA from 1 species